UUUUACACCGUGGUGUGCUGGGGGGAGGUGACUCAUCCAGGCUGCACAAACUGAUCAGGGGGCUGGCUCUGUGGUUGGCAUGAAGCCGGACUCUUUGAUG